rnacentral:rRNA from 1 species
CCUACGGGAGGCAGCAGUGGGGAAUUUUCCGCAAUGGGCGAAAGCCUGACGGAGCGACGCCGCGUGGAGGAUGAAGGAUUUCGGUCUGUAAACUCCUGUCAGGGGGGACGAUGAUGACGGUACCCCCAAAGGAAGCAUCGGCUAACUACGUGC